rnacentral:rRNA from 1 species
UUUAUGGAGAGUUUGAUCCUGGCUCAGGAUGAACGCUGGCGGCGUGCCUAAUACAUGCAAGUCGAGCGAACGGACGAGAAGCUUGCUUCUCUGAUGUUAGCGGCGGACGGGUGAGUAACACGUGGAUAACCUACCUAUAAGACUGGGAUAACUUCGGGAAACCGGAGCUAAUACCGGAUAAUAUUUUGAACCGCAUGGUUCAAAAGUGAAAGACGGUCUUGCUGUCACUUAUAGAUGGAUCCGCGCUGCAUUAGCUAGUUGGUAAGGUAACGGCUUACCAAGGCAACGAUGCAUAGCCGACCUGAGAGGGUGAUCGGCCACACUGGAACUGAGACACGGUCCAGACUCCUACGGGAGGCAGCAGUAGGGAAUCUUCCGCAAUGGGCGAAAGCCUGACGGAGCAACGCCGCGUGAGUGAUGAA